rnacentral:rRNA from 1 species
UCUUCGGAGAGUUUGAUCAUGGCUCAGGACGAACGCUGGCGGCGUGCCUAAAACAUGCAAGUCGAACGGGACCUUCGGGUCUAGUGGCGAACGGCGGAGUAAUACAUAAGUAACUUGCCUCGAAGAUCGGGAUAGCCGCGGGAAACUGCGAGUAAUACCGGAUGUGGUGAGUGGGAGGCAUCUUCUGCUCAUUAAAUGGUCUUUCGCUUCGAGAGCGGCUUAUGACACAUCAGCUAGUUGGUGGGGUAAUGGCCUACCAAGGCUACGACGUGUAGGGGGUCUGAGAGGAUGAUCCCCCCGAGUGGGACUGAGACACGGCCCACACACCUACGGGUGGCAGCAGUUGGGAAUCUUGCACAAUGGGGGAAACCCUGAUGCAGCGACGCCGCGU